AUUGAACGCUGGCGGCAUGCUUUACACAUGCAAGUCGAACGCCCCGCAAGGGGAGUGGCAGACGGGUGAGUAACGCGUGGGAAUCUACCCAGUUCUACGGAACAACAGUUGGAAACGACUGCUAAUACCGUAUACGCCCUACGGGGGAAAGAUUUAUCGGAAUUGGAUGAGCCCGCGUAAGAUUAGCUAGUUGGUGAGGUAAUGGCUCACCAAGGCGACGAUCUUUAGCUGGUCUGAGAGGAUGAUCAGCCACACUGGGACUGAGACACGGUCCAGACUCCUACGGGAGGCAGCAGUGGGGAAGUUUGCGCAAUGGGCGAAAGCCUGACGCAGCAACGCCGCGUGGAGGAUGAAGGCCUUCGGGUCGUAAACUCCUGUCGAUGGGGACGAAGUUCUCGCAAGGGGAUUGACUGUACCCGUUGAGGAAGCCACGGCUAACUCCGUGCCAGCAGCCGCAGUAAGAC
rnacentral:rRNA from 1 species